rnacentral:tmRNA from 1 species
GGGGCUGAUUCUGGAUUCGACGGGAUUUGCGAAACCCAAGGUGCAUGCCGAGGGGCGGUUGGCCUCGUAAAAAGCCGCAAAAAAUAGUCGCAAACGACGAAAACUACGCUUUAGCAGCUUAAUAACCUGCUUAGAGCCCUCUCUCCCUAGCCUCCGCUCUUAGGACGGGGAUCAAGAGAGGUCAAACCCAAAAGAGAUCGCGUGGAAGCCCUGCCUGGGAUUGAAGCGUUAAAACUUAAUCAGGCUAGUUUGUUAGUGGCGUGUCCGUCCGCAGCUGGCAAGCGAAUGUAAAGACUGACUAAGCAUGUAGUACCGAGGACGUAGGAAUUUCGGACGCGGGUUCAACUCCCGCCAGCUCCACCA